CUGCAGCCUUCACUAAAGGGUUUAAUCUGCAGCACGUUUCAGAUGGUCUUUACGGGAGGCAUUUGUAUGUCUAUAGCUGGCCAAAUGGCGAACUGAAACAGACAUUGGAUCUUGGUAACACUGGGCUCAUACCCUUGGAGAUAAGGUUCCUUCAUGAUCCUUCUAAAGAUACAGGGUUUGUUGGGUGUGCUUUGACCGGUAACAUGGUGCGAUUUUUCAAGACCCCAGGUGGAUCAUGGAGCCAUGAGCUGGCAAUAUCAGUGAAACCCUUGAAGGUGAAAAACUGGAUUCUUCCGGAAAUGCCAGGCCUCAUAACUGACUUUCUGAUCUCUCUUGAUGAUCGGUUUCUUUAUUUUGUCAAUUGGCUGCAUGGAGAUGUCAGACAGUAUAACAUUGAGGACAUCAAAAAUCCAGUCUUGACAGGCCAAGUUUGGGUUGGCGGCGUGAUUCAGAAAGGAAGCCCUAUAGCGGUGGAGAAAGAAGAUGGAGAAACUUGGCAGCCGGAUGUUCCUGAGAUCCAGGGUAAUAGAUUGAGAGGAGGACCUCAGAUGAUCCAACUAAGUUUAGAUGGGAAGAGGCUCUAUGUCACCAACUCACUCUUCAGCGCUUGGGAUCGUCAGUUUUAUCCUGAACUUGUAGAGAAAGGAUCCCACAUGUUACAGAUUGAUGUUGACACUGUGCGAGGUGGUCUCAAAGUAAACCCAAACUUUUUCGUGGACUUUGCAGGUGAACCUGAUGGUCCUUCCCUCGCCCAUGAGAUGAGAUAUCCAGGCGGUGACUGCACUUCCGAUAUAUGGAUUUAGGUAUCCAGACCAACUAUUGUGGUGCCGAGGGGUUGCCUGAGAACAUA
rnacentral:misc_RNA from 1 species